CGACAGAUGUGAUGAACUGAAAGCUGUUUGGCUCAUUUGAACCUGGGUGGAGUCACCUUUCAAUAACAUAUCAGUAUGGCUUCUUCUGUUUUCUUGUUUGAAAUGACAUUACCCAUGUUACUAUUUUGGACUAGCACCUUGUCAAAAAAGAAAAACAAACACACCCAGUAAUGUUUUAGUGGCUUUACUGACACAAUCUUUGUCAAAAUCCAAAACCGUUGAACAACAAUAAAAAGACAAUAUAUAUCA